AUUUUGCUACAGCCUGCCUGGUGAGUUUCUUAAAGACAAAACUGGAUCUUCAUUCUAAAGUGUUUCAUCCCUCUUUUGCUGUUUUUUUGUUUGUUUGUUUUUUUCCCCAAACAGGCCUGUUCUAACAUGGGGAAAAAAGGGAGCCUGUCAAAGCAUAUAAUUAGCAGCUAAUCAAGAUGGCCCUGCCUCAUAAUCGUCUGUCAGGGGGCCAAAUUGAAGUGAUGAGUAAAAUGACAAUCUAGAAACAAAAGAACUGGAUCAGGUCCAUGUCCCAACAGGAAAGCUAGUUGUAACCAUCAUUAUUUCCCAACUACAACACAUCUGAAGGAAAUGACUACCCGAGGAUAGUUAACGACGAUGCUGUGAUCAGAGGCAUCUGGUGAUCUUCAGAGAGAAUCCAGAAAGUUGAAUUCUAGCCCAAAUGACUGACUGUCAUCUCUCCAUACCACAGGAUCCUUCUGUGGGUUGCAGAGGUAAAAUGAGCUCUCUUCCACCAAGACUAUAAAGAGCUGUGAAGAUUUGAGAAAUGCCCCAAAUCAUCUCUCAGAAAAAGAUCACAUAUUAUAUCCAACAUGGCCCCCACC